rnacentral:rRNA from 1 species
UACGGGGGGGGCAAGCGUUGUUCGGAAUUACUGGGCGUAAAGGGCUCGUAGGCGGCCAACUAAGUCAGACGUGAGAUCCCUCGGCUUAACCGGGGAACUGCGUCUGAUACUGGAUGGCUUGAGUUUGGGAGAGGGAUGCGGAAUUCCAGGUGUAGCGGUGAAAUGCGUAGAUAUCUGGAGGAACACCGGUGGCGAAGGCGGCAUCCUGGACCAACACUGACGCUGAGGAGCGAAAGCCAGGGGAGCAAACGGG